rnacentral:rRNA from 1 species
AUUGAACGCUGGCGGCAUGCCUUACACAUGCAAGUCGAACGGUAACGCGGGGCAACCUGGCGACGAGUGGCGAACGGGUGAGUAAUGCAUCGGAACGUGCCCAGUAGUGGGGGAUAGCCCGGCGAAAGCCGGAUUAAUACCGCAUACGACCUACGGGUGAAAGGGGGGGAUCGCAAGACCUCUCGCUAUUGGAGCGGCCGAUGUCAGAUUAGGUAGUUGGUGGGGUAAAGGCUUACCAAGCCGACGAUCUGUAGCUGGUCUGAGAGGACGACCAGCCACACUGGGACUGAGACACGGCCCAGACUCCUACGGGAGGCAGCAGUGGGGAAUUUUGGACAAUGGGCGCAAGCCUGAUCCAGCCAUGCCGCGUGCGGGAAGAAGGCCUUCGGGUUGUAAACCGCUUUUGUCAGGGAAGAAACGCGCUGAGUUAAUACCUCGGCGUAAUGACGGUACCUGAAGAAUAAGCACCGGCUAACUACGUGCCAGCAGCCGCAGUAAUAC